rnacentral:rRNA from 1 species
GAUGAACGCUAGCUACAGGCUUAACACAUGCAAGUCGAGGGGCAGCGCAGUGUAGCAAUACAUGGGCGGCGACCGGCGCACGGGUGCGUAACGCGUAUCCAACCUUCCCGUUACUCGGGGAUAGCCUUCUGAAAGGAAGAUUAAUACCCGAUGGCAUGUAUUUCCGGCAUCGGAGAUACAUUAAAGAUUUAUCGGUAACGGAUGGGGAUGCGUGACAUUAGGUAGAUGGCGGGGUAAUGGCCCACCAUGCCUACGAUGUCUAGGGGUUCUGAGAGGAAGGUCCCCCACACUGGAACUGAGACACGGUCCAGACUCCUACGGGAGGCAGCAGUGAGGAAUAUUGGUCAAUGGUCGGAAGACUGAACCAGCCAAGUAGCGUGAAGGAUGAAGGUUCUAUGGAUUGUAAACUUCUUUUAUACGGGAAUAAAACCUCCCACGUGUGGGAGCUUGUAUGUACCGUAUGAAUAAGCAUCGGCUAACUCCGUG